CGGAGCGUAGCUCAGCUUGGUAGAGCACCAGCUUUGGGAGCUGGCCGUCGCAGGUUCAAAUCCUGUCGCUCCGA
rnacentral:tRNA from 1 species